UUUAAAAUAGAGAUAAGAACCAGCCUGAGAUUUUACAGGUUCUCUCUCUGAAAAUGCUUGGUGAUUUUUCUUAAGGAAUUAUUGAAAAUGUUGCACAAUGUGUGAGACCCCAACAUUUUAUACAUACACUGAUAAAUAAAAAUAUACUUUAGGUUUUAAGUCAGAUAAUCAGUCUUCUAGGAAGAUUUGACUUGAGACUUUUUAAAAGAUGUAAUUUAAACUUUUAAAUGUAUGCUUUGAAAUAAAAGUUAGCACAGACAAAACAAUGUUUCAUCACCCCCCUCUGUCUCAGGUUUCACAGCACGGUUGCAUGAAGUUACUUGGAGAGAGAGAUAUUUUUAGACUUCAACUUUAUUCAUGUUAAGGACAUCAAAAAAAAACAGAGAGAUGAGAGCAUCAUAAAAUGACCACAAGCAAGCUGGAAUGCGGAUGCCAUCACAUCACACCCUCAAAUAUGGCGUGUCAGAGUUCAAAAAGCCUUAAAAUCAUCCGUCUGCCAUUUGAUCACCCAGAAGAUGUCCAGAGGUUCACAGGGCACCAUCGCUAUUCAAAAUAUGUGGACAAAGGUCAUAUCGGGCCCCGGAGGAUCACCAACAAUGUCAAAGGUCAUUGGGGUGAUACUACGGUCAACCAUGGUAGGGGGAUGGGAAAACUUCGUGGGUGGUCCGUGGGGGAGGGGAACGUCGUGGGUGGUCCCAAGGGUCACAGAGGUCAGAAAGGUCAAAGGUCGCGAUCCAUCAUUUUGACAGAAGGUGCAGCAUAUAACUACUACUGUUUUUUAAAUAUUUUUGUUAUAGCAAAUAUAUGGUUGUGCAAAUGAACUAACAUCAUUCAAUCACACUUUUAACUAACCUGAUUUAAAAAAAACAAUCUCCUUAUUUUUUGCAUUCAUUAUUUUUCUGUAACUCUGACUGCAUGUGCUGAAAAAAAUGAGAAAUAAUAUUUUAUAAAAACCUUUAAAAUUGCCAGAGAAGGAAGGUAACACCAGUGACAAAAAAAAAAAAAAAAAAAAAAAAAAAAUCUGUCAUUUAUACACAUAAAUAAGCUGUCAUUUAUGUGUAUUCAUAAAGUCAAAGGGUAAUCAAAUAAUGUGGUCUAAGUUUAAAUGUUAGAAAAAGAAAUACAUUUUAAGACAUCUUGCCGUACCAAAAGUGGACGUUUGAGAAAUGAGAAAGAAUGAGAAAGAGAGUGCUGGC